rnacentral:rRNA from 1 species
AUGAGACCAGGACCUGUUUUUGAGCAACUACCAGAGGAAAUUCUACAUUAUAUACACUCCCUCUUGACAGUGCAAGACGCAGCUCGUGCUGCAUGCGUGUCUCGUGGACUUCUACAUGCCUGGAGAUGCUAUUCCCACCUUAAACUCAACGAACAUACGCUUGGAUUGGCUGAUAAGACAGUUGAAGAACAAAAAACCUAUAUCAUAAAAAAAGUUGACCAAAUUCUUGAAAACCAUCACAACAAUAGGGUUAAGGUGGAGACACUUAAACUUAGACUUGUACAUGGCUCUUAUGGCCACAUCAAAGCCUCCAGCCUCAACAGGUGGCUCCAAAUCACCGUCAAGUCUGGGAUAAAAAAACUUGACUUGUCAAUACCUUUACAAAUCAAGAAAGAAUACAACUUCCCGUGUGCCGUCUUGUCUGAUGAGGCAGCUGCAAGUUCAAUCAAGUCUCUCCACCUCCACGGCUGUGCUUUUACUCCCACGUCGUCACUUGGUAUCUUGAGAAGAUUGACAUGUUUACAUUUGUUUUCUGUCCGGGUUACAGAGGAAGGGUUACGGUUCUUGCUCUCAAAAUCUCCUGUCCUAGAGAAGUUGGACAUGUACUUUUGUAGGGGGAUAGUAUGCUUGCGAAUAGCUUUCACGUUGCAGCAACUCAAAUACCUUAGUUUGAUACAUUGCACAGGGCUACAGUCAGUACAGAUCGAUGCCCCAAAACUUUGCUCCUUUCGCUCUGAUGAGAUUGGGAUCCUGAAAGAAAUUUGUUUGAGAAAUUCUUCUCAACUUAAGAAUGUAGAUUUGUCGAGCAUUUUUUUCUCUGAUGCUCGUGCCAGACUUCCAUCCAUCAUACCUAAUGUUGAGAGUCUUAUCCUGCAAUCACGACAGCCCUCCAAGUUCCCCUACCUCAAGAACCUGGAAAUCGAACUCCAUCCAGCAACAAUGCCCUUCCCUCCAAGCCAUGACAUAUUUUCUUUGGUUUCUUUUCUUGAUGCUUCUCCGGUCCUGGAUUCUUUCAUCCUACCGGUAGAGCAGGAUGCAACUACACCCGAUCUCAUUUCUGGAGAGGAUGAUGUGUAUACUAAACGAAAGCUAGAGUACCGACACGACCAUCUCAGGAAGGUGCUGAUCACAUGGUUCUGUCCAUCCCGGAGCCUGGUCGAGCUCACGAUCCACAUCCUUGAGAGUACAGCUUCCCUCGAGCGUCUGACGUUGGACUUGACCUACGGCUAUGAUAGGAGGUGGGGUACUGUUGGCAGAUGCCCCGCCUCAACAAAGAAUGGCCUAUGUUUGUCAAUGAGCAAGAAAGAUCUUGCGGGAGCUCGUAGAGGAGUGGAGAUUGCGGGUCAGUACAUCGUGGGGAGAGUUCCCACCAAUGUUCAGUUCGAGGUCCUAGGGCCUUGUACCCAAUGUCAUAGUGUCGAGCGGUAG